GAUGAACGCUGGCGGCGUGCUUAACACAUGCAAGUCGAACGAAGCAUCUACGACAGAUUUCUUCGGAUUGAAGUUGUUUAUGACUGAGUGGCGGACGGGUGAGUAACGCGUGGGUAACCUGCUUUGUACUGGGGGAUAGCAGCUGGAGACGGCUGGUAAUACCGCAUAAGCGCACGGUGCUGCAUGGCACAGUGUGACAAACUCCGGUGGUAUAAGAUGGACCCGCGUCUGAUUAGCUAGUUGGUGAGAUAACAGCCCACCAAGGCGACGAUCAGUAGCCGACCUGAGAGGGUGACCGGCCACAUUGGGACUGAGACACGGCCCAGACUCCUACGGGAGGCAGCAGUGGGGAAUAUUGCACAAUGGAGGAAACUCUGAUGCAGCGACGCCGCGUGAGUGAAGAAGUAAUUCGUUAUGUAAAGCUCUAUCAGCAGGGAAGAUAGUGACGGUACCUGACUAAGAAGCUCCGGCUAAAUACGUGCCAGCCGCCGCUGUAA
rnacentral:rRNA from 1 species